AAAGUGGAGCCCCCAAAAAACUGUCUUUGAAGUUCACAUCUCAUAGCAAAACCCAACAACAACCACCUUCAUUCAUUCAUUUCAUGCAAAACCAUCUUUACCAUUAAAGUCAUAGUCUCAGAGGUAUAUAGGGGACCAUAUUCUUAAUCAUUAUUCAUGUAUCAAAAGAGUUAGUUCAAUUCCACUGCACCACUUGUGCCUUCAUAAAGUGGGAAAACAAUCUUACAUGACCCCCUUUCCUUUUCUUUAUAUUUGUUUCUUGUUUUCUCAACAUCACCUUCAGAUCUUCUAUUAGAUUUUUAAUUCUUCUUCUCGAUUUUUGGAUAUGCCUUUAGGGGAUGUCGUUUAAUUAUCCCCACUUAUAAUUUGUAAUGACUCUUUAGGUCAUUUUCCUGCAGUGCGUUAUUUUCAGCGUUAAGAGCUUUCCUAUAGCAAUCUCAAGUCAUUUAUAAUAUGCUGAGAUCGACAGUUCGAUCACCUGGUCGUUCAUUUUUUUAAGCGAGUAUGAGUGUUUUGGAGCUUUUGAAACUUGACUUCAGUAAAAAAAUCAGGUAGACAACCUCAAAAUACAGUUCUAUUAGCUCCACAACAUCAAGUUUGGUCAAGAAGGAUCUUUGGUACGCAUCCCAAGUCUUUCGGGCUCAUUUCAAGCUACCUUGUGGCUUUGGGCAAAAAUAGAGCCUCGGAUGUGAGACCCACUUCUUGUCGAACAUUGGGCUGCGUUUGAGGCUCGUAAUAGAGAUUUAGUGAUACUAGUCAUGCCUUUAUACCUCUGAAAAGGUAUAUUUGGUCCUCUCGAUUGGGCGUAUAAAUCGGAGAUCUCACGCGGUUUUAUGUCGGUUAAUAGUAGCUCCCGCAGUCAGACUAUAGUGCAUAUGACCAGGUGGCAUGCAAUGAUUAUCUUAGAAUUUGAAGCUUGAGAAUAACAUUCUCUCAAGAUUGGUAUGUCCUCAUAUGUUUGAGGACAUGACUUAUGUUUUAGUUUUCUUUUAUAAAAGACUUUGUAAUAGAUUGAGUUUUUUUUCUUCAAAUUGAUGAAAGGGCCGUGACCCUAUAAUAUUGACUUGUGUCUAGGAUGAUUUAUGUGAUUUAGUUUCUUUCUUA